rnacentral:rRNA from 1 species
UUGGAGGGCAAGUCUGGUGCCAGCAGCCGCGGUAAUUCCAGCUCCAAUAGCGUAUAUUAAAGUUGUUGCAAUUAAAAAGCUCGUAGUUGAAUUUCGGGGUUAGUAGGCUGGUCAUGCCUCCGGUAUGUACUGGUCUCACUGAUUCCUCCCUCCUGACGAACCUUAAUGCCAUUAAUUUGGUGUUGCGGGGAAUUUGGACUGUUACUUUGAAAAAAUUAGAGUGUUUAAGCA